CCAAAAUGUAUACCACUAGAAACCAGAACCAUGGCUUUUCUGAACUUUGAGGAAAUUAAAGAACUCCACUCUAAGCAGCCUCCCUGUCAAGUCCAAUUCUCAGCGUUUAAAUGGCAUCUCUCCCUUCUCCAUCACAGGGAAUGAUAUCCUGCCUGUAAUUAGUGACCAGCUUGUAGCAGUAAAAGCCAGAUUUGAGUCAUUUUCUUCUAAGGAUUUAAUAUCUGUACCAAUAAUGCACUCAUGCUUAUCACGUUUGUCAAUACAUGGUGCUAAGAUGAAAUCAGCCAGAAAAUAGCUGCUAAAGUGAACUGUCUUGUCAUUUACCAUUCCUGGCCCUGGUGCAUUUUCAGAGUGCUUGGAUGCAGUGGUGGCAGAAGUAAAGCUGAACUCUGUCCUUCCUUGGGGACGCAUCAUUUCUUCAGGGUAAGCUGUGUUGAUGCGUCUUGCAAAGAGGUGCUUAAGAUCGAUGUUAGUUGCCUGGCUGAGCACAGCCUAAAGCCAGAACAUGCACAGCUUUAUUAAAUGUUCUUUGCACAAGGGAAAACUGCAGGAGAUCUCACUGCUGUUUGUUCAGGCACACUGAGCCCCGGAUUGGGACAGGGAGGGGAAGAAAGCUGCAGCUGCAGUGCGCGGGGGGGGGAUGGAAAGAGAUUAAACAACAACGUCAACAACAACAACAACAAAAAGUGUGUGUGUGUGAGAGAGAGCGAGAGAGAGGGAAGAGAGAAUAAUAAGAGGAAUUAAGCAACGAAGAGUCGCUCCGUUGCGAAGAGGAGCCGCGGCCGCGGGUGGGCGGCGCAGGUCCAGCACCACGGACAGCAGCGCCCCGACGGAGCGUCCCGGCUCGGCCGCCGUGGGCAGCGUUCGGAUCCUGAUGCAGCGUGACGCCCAACGGGGACCCUGACCCUCAUCUCGCCCUUCCUCCCCUCAGAGCUACUCCGGUUAAGAUUGGCCUGACCUCAGUGCUGCCGUUCUGCAUUCAGCAUGCAGUGCCAGGAGAGUGCUGCAGCCAAAACCCAGUAUGAACUGUUCCUUGGAACUGCACAUGGGGUGUUCCUGGCACUGUGUUGCCAUCACUCUGGGAUUCAUCUCUUGGUCGGUCUCUCUGCUGAGCCUCAGUGGUCUGCAGGAGAAUAACCCACCCCAGCGCUGCAGCUGAUAAAUGUCUCCAUGCCAUCCUCUCUAUUUGGAGCAGCUGUUUUUCUUCCUUCAGUCUACAGGUCCUGCAAUUUUUUGUCCCUCUGCUUACAGCUCUAUGGCCAAACUUUGGCAAUGCUCCAGCAAGAAAGAUGCCAACUGACAAAAGCUUUGCUCCUGUGAUUGACAGAGAAAGGCUUCUGAUGGCCCAGCAAAGUUUAUCUGCUGCUCUCAUACAGGCAUUUAAAUUUAAGAAAUGAAAAUCUACAUCAGCCUCACUGUGUACGCCUACCUUGUCCUUUUUCUUCCUGGUCAUCUGCUUGACAUAAACAUGCCGUGCAGGAAACUGAAGCUGUGAAAAGCUCUUGCUCUCUCUGAUGAAAGAACCAGCUUUUCAGACAGCUGCUGCAGUCCCUCUUUGAAGAAACUGUUGAUGGUACCAGUUUUUUACAGGUCCCCUUGAGUGGUAAGCUGUGAUUUAUGCAAAAGCACUGCGCUGAUUGCCAGCAUAAAACAAGCAACGGAGGACAAAUGGCAACGCAUAUGGUCAGACUUCUUCCAGCUAACUGCAAGAGCUGCACUUCAGGGAACAGAGGGGUCAGACAAGCAGACGCCCUGCAACAUCACUGUCAGCCUACUUUAUGUGUGUCCUCCAGAAGCGGCCCCAGCCACCCUCUGGAGAUGGCAUCUCCUGCCAUCUCUGGCCUCUGGUACUGCAUUUCAAGCUGACUUGAGGAGUCUGGCAAUGCUAUUAUAGUGCUGUCUAUGUCUUAGUGCCUGAAAAGAAAAAGGCCCCCUGCUUUAACACCUCCUGUUAUCUCAGUAAAGUGAUGUUUAAAUAA